GCUCACGUAGUGUAGCGGCCAAUCAUGAGGCCCUUUCGAGGCUUCGACCCGGGUUCGAAUCCCGGCGUGAGCA
rnacentral:tRNA from 1 species